GCCUGGGUGGCUCAGUCGGUUGAGCGUCUGACUUCGGCUCAGGUCAUGAUCUCACGGUCUGUGGGUUCGAGCCCCGCGUCGGGCU
rfam:Felis catus isolate Cinnamon breed Abyssinian chromosome D3, whole genome shotgun sequence.